UAUGGCAGACUAGUGCAUUGGAUUUAAAAUCCUCUUAUAAAGAUUAAUUCUUUUAUUAAAA
rnacentral:tRNA from 1 species